UCGCUGCCGGAGAGGACAGACACUAGUGCCCUAGCUCCCGCUGGGCCGAGCCUGCCCCAUGCUCACUACCCUGAGGAGGACUGGCUGAGCCUGCCCCAUGCUCGCUAUCCAGAGGAGCUGCCUGAACUUCCCCUCGCCCAGUACCCUGAGGAGCAGCCCGGCUUACCCAGCGCUCAGUACCCUGAGGAGCCCAUGGUGUGGGACACUGCGGAAGAUGCUGGGGAUACACAGAAAUAUCCCAGAGGGUGGUAUUAAGCAACUGCUCUUCUACCCCAAGGUAGCUCUCAUGUGCGGUUCCAUCUUGCCCACCCCUUAAGGAGAAAGACACAUCACGAAAACCAUUAAACCAGGAGAAGGUGUGAGAACCAAAUCUUAUGGAUUUUAUUCACAAUUCUACUACAGACUUACUCAAAGUCACAUGGCAAAUCAGUUUAUUUCUCUGUGUCUCACUUGCUCCAUCUGUCAUGUGGAUAAAAUACUUUCCUACCUCCAUAAAGAUGCGGAGAGAUUUCAGUAAUUAGAUUCUUACCCUACAAACACUUUUAUACUUAACUUUAAACAUGUGAGUUGUCCCAAUGAGCUAAGUGUUUGCAUGAUUGGGGCCCUAAUGUUUAUAAAAUGUUUUACU